rnacentral:rRNA from 1 species
UGCGCAGGCGGUUUUGUAAGCCAGAUGUGAAAUCCCCGGGCUUAACCUGGGAACUGCAUUUGGGACUGCAAGGCUUGAGUACGGCAGAGGGGGGUAGAAUUCCUGGUGUAGCAGUGAAAUGCGUAGAUAUCAGGAGGAAUACCGAUGGCGAAGGCAGCCCCCUGGGUCGAUACUGACGCUCAUGCACGAAAGCGUGGGGAGCAAACAGGAUUAGAUACCCUGGUAGUCCACGCCCUAAACGAUGUCAACUAGUUGUUGGGGGCCUUACCGCCCUUAGUAACGCAGCUAACGCGUGAAGUUGACCGCCUGGGGAGUACGGUCGCAAGAUUAAA